rnacentral:rRNA from 1 species
UACAGAGGGUGCGAGCGUUAAUCGGAAUUACUGGGCGUAAAGCGUGCGUAGACGGUUAUUUAAGUCGGGUGUGAAAGCCCCGGGCUCAACCUGGGAAUUGCAUUCGAGACUGAAUAGCUAGGGUACGGUAGAGGGAAGUGGAAUUUCCGGUGUAGCGGUGAAAUGCGUAGAUAUCUGGAGGAAUACCGGUGGCGAAGGCGGCAUCCUGGACCAUAACUGACGCUGAGGCGCGAAAGCUAGGGGAGCAAACGGG